CGCCUCCUGCAAAAACCAAUGUAUAGGAGGUCUUGCCUGCCCAGUGACAAGUUAAACGGCCGCGGUAUUUUGACCGUGCGAAGGUAGCGCAAUCCCUUGUCUUUUAAAUGAAGACCUGUAUGAAUGGUGGAACGAGGGCUUAACUGUCUCCCCUUUCAAGUCAAUGAAAUUGAUCUGCCCGUGCAGAAGCGGACAUACAAAUACAAGACGAGAAGACCCUUUGGAGCUUAAGAUACAAGAUCAACUAUGUCAAGAACCCCAAAAUUAAGUUAAACUAAAUAGCCAAUUGAUCCCUAUCUUCGGUUGGGGCGACCGCGGGAGAAAAUAAAGCUCCCAUGCGGACUGGGGUUAAACCCUAAAACCAAGAGAGACAUCUCUAAGUCACAGAACAUCUGACCACAAAGAUCCGGCCUGUCCCGCCGAUCAACGGACCAAGUUACCCUAGGGAUAACAGCGCAAUCCCCUUUCAGAGUCCAUAUCGACAAGGGGGUUUACGACCUCGAUGUUGGAUCAGGACAUCCUAAUGGUGCAGCCGCUAUUAAGGGUUCGUUUGUUCAACGAUUAAAGUCCU
rnacentral:rRNA from 1 species